CGGGAAGUAGCUCAGCUUGGUAGAGCACUUGAUUUGGGACCAAGGGGUCGCAGGUUCGAAUCCUGUCUUCCCGA
rnacentral:tRNA from 1 species